UACGAAGGGGGCUAGCGUUGUUCGGAAUUACUGGGCGUAAAGGGCGCGUAGGCGGUGCGAUAAGUCAGGCGUGAAAGGCCCGGGCUCAACCCGGGGACUGCGCUUGAUACUGUUGCGCUGUGAGUCCGGGAGAGGAUGGCGGAAUUCCCAGUGUAGAGGUGAAAUUCGUAGAUAUUGGGAAGAACACCGGUGGCGAAGGCGGCCAUCUGGACCGGCACUGACGCUGAGGCGCGAAAGCGUGGGGAGCAAACAGG
rnacentral:rRNA from 1 species